UGCUAGAAAUAGAUGGAGACAGUAACACAGUCAGAUCCUUGGCCAAACAACGCGGAUUGCAGUUCAUUUCAAAGUUCCUAAUUCUCAACUCAUUUCAAAGUUUGACGGAAAGUGAUCAAGAAGCAUAAGAUCUUCAGAUAAGUCUAGAAGAUAGAGCACCCUAUAUGUCCACUGAAGGAUCUUGGGCAAGGUUUUGGUAUCAGGAUGAUGCUGGCAUCAUAAAAUGAGUAUUUUUCUUCAGACUUCAGACUGCUGUGCUGGAAGCAAGAAUUUCAAGCAUUGGAUCUUAGCUUGCUGGGCUCCAUAGGGGUGGGAUCCACUGAGCUAGACCACUUGGCUCCCUGGCUUCAGCCCCCUUCCAGAUGUCCUUGGCGUGUACACCCUGUGGAAUCUGGUUCAUCUUCAAUCUGUCAGAAGGCAUCAGAGGUGGUUUUGACUCCUUAUGUCUUGGACCUGUGCACAAAAAGUGUAAAAUGGAUGGAACAUCAGACAGCUCAUUAUAGAGACAAGUAAGCUCCAGUUCCAAAGUUGGUUGACAGAACAAGUCAUGACCUUGUGUGGAGGAAAAUGAGAUCCCGAGUGAAGUCUACAAUGUCAUUGACUCUGAAGAAGGACUCAGAGACCCAUUGGUGUUUAAUGACCCUUACUGGCCUAUGCAAUGGAAACUGGUAUGAUCUUCAGAAAUAGAUGGUUCUUUGGCAGUGUUAAGAAAUAUUAUUUUUGUCAUGUUCUAAUGCAGUAGAUAGGCACUUUUAUGCACUGCCUGCUUUUAUCUAUUGGUUUUGCAGAGAGAGACUUAGCAAACUUUUGAUGAAAUAUUACUGCCAUCUUAUUAAUGAACACUAAUCCUUUUAAUUUGAUUACAUCCUUAGGGUUUGAUUUAAUCUAUAAAAGACACCAGUAAAAACCCCAAGAUAUUUAAAUUUGGUGUGUGUAAACAGACUCAUUACAUAGAAAUGUUGUUGCCAUUCAGGCUUGAAGUUUUUGUUCUUGCAUAACUUAGAAUAUAUUCUAUAUUACAUCAA
rnacentral:lncRNA from 1 species